AUCUGCCCUCAGGAGGGGGAUAACGGUUGGAAACGACCGCUAAUACCCCAUAUGCCGCGAGGUGAAAUGAAUUUCGCCUGAGGAUGAGCUCGCGUCUGAUUAGCUAGUUGGUGGGGUAAAGGCUUACCAAGGCAUCGAUCAGUAGCUGGUCUGAGAGGAUGAUCAGCCACACUGGGACUGAGACACGGCCCAGACUCCUACGGGAGGCAGCAGUGGGGAAUUUUCCGCAAUGGGCGAAAGCCUGACGGAGCAACGCCGCGUGAGGGAUGAAGGCCUCUGGGCUGUAAACCUCUUUUAUCAAGGAAGAAGAUCUGACGGUACUUGAUGAAUAAGCCACGGCUAAUUCCGUGCCAGCAGCCGCGGUAAUACGGGAGUGGCAAGCGUUAUCCGGAAUUAUUGGGCGUAAGCGUCCGCAGGCGGCCCUUCAGUCUGCUGUUAAAAGUGGAGCUUAACUCCAUCAUGGCAGUGGAAACUGUUGGGCUUGAGUGUGGUAGGGGCAGAGGGAAUACCCGGUGUAGCGGUGAAAUGCGUAUAUAUCGGGAAGAACACCAGUGGCGAAAGCGCUCUGCUGGGCCAUCACUGACGCUCAUGGACGAAAGCCAGGGGAGCGAAAGGGAUUAGAUACCCCUGUAGUCCUGGCCGUAAACGAUGAACACUAGGUGUCGGGGGAAUCGACCCCCUCGGUGUCGUAGCCCACGCGUUAAGUGUUCCGCCUGGGGAGUACGCACG
rnacentral:rRNA from 1 species